rnacentral:rRNA from 1 species
AUUGAACGCUGGCGGCAUGCCUUACACAUGCAAGUCGAACGGUAACAGGUCUUCGGAUGCUGACGAGUGGCGAACGGGUGAGUAAUACAUCGGAACGUGCCCGAUCGUGGGGGAUAACGAGGCGAAAGCUUUGCUAAUACCGCAUACGAUCUACGGAUGAAAGCGGGGGAUCUUCGGACCUCGCGCGGACGGAGCGGCCGAUGGCAGAUUAGGUAGUUGGUGGGAUAAAAGCUUACCAAGCCGACGAUCUGUAGCUGGUCUGAGAGGAUGAUCAGCCACACUGGGACUGAGACGCGGCCCAGACUCCUACGGGAGGCAGCAGUGGGGAAUUUUGGACAAUGGGCGAAAGCCUGAUCCAGCCAUGCCGCGUGCAGGAUGAAGGCCUUUGGGUUGUAAACUGCUUUUGUACGGAACGAAAAGCCUCUUUCUAAUAAAGAGGGGUCAUGACGGUACCGUAAGAAUAAGCACCGGCUAACUACGUG